AAUAAUUGACCCAAUUAAAACUCACCCGUGUCUUUUCUUCUCUCCACACAAAGACCCAAUACUCCCAUCUCUUCUCCCCUCUUCAACCGACCUCAAAAUCCCUCUUCCUCAAAAUCCUAAAUUAAAUAAAUCAAGAGUAUAACACCAUUAAUCCAACCAUUUUUCCUUCUAUCAAUUAAACAAGAUUUUUGGUUGUGUUUCGCUUUACGGAGGAUUGUUCAUUUUCACAAUGUCAAAUUUCUGGUCUUACACUUUCUGUGUUCCCUUCUUUUGUUUCAGUUAUUUUCGAAAUUGUUUGGUUAUUUUCAUCCGAUAAAGCCGCCAGUGUAUGGUACUAUUCGAUGGGUAGCAACUAUAAGGGGUUCUUUAUAUAACUUAGCUACAUUUGAAUAUUAAAGGGUUUGUGAAAGUAUUUAGGCUGAUAACAGCAUUUGUGUUUGUCACACCUGCCACGUAGAGAUGGCAAAAAAUGGGUGGAUUGGGCUUUGGUCAACAAUUAGAUGAAUGGUAAGAUCACGAUCAACAUUAAGAUAAAUGGCCAGACCAUGAUCAACAAUAAGAUGAACGAUUAGAGUAAUUUAUGAUUUGUUUUAUCGAAAUGUAUAUUCUGAUUAGUUUUUGAUUCUUUGAUUACUUUUGGCUUAAUUUGUUUGUUAAAUAUUGCCCGUUCUAGUUGAAGUUUAUGAUGCACACCAACUGUUUGAUGUAAUGUUUGAAUGAAAAUAAGUGAGGUUUGGCUGGCUGAAUUAGUUUACUACUUAUGUAUUGGUUAAAGUAAAACGUGAUGAAUUUAUAUGAGAGUAGCGUUAAGUGAUCUCCAAUGCCUCUUGCUGUCAUGUAAACUUUGUUAGAUGAGCUCAAGAACAAUAAAAACAAGUCUUGUAAACUCACUAAUGAUACUGUUUAUGAUUUCAUUACAAAUACUAUGAUAUGUUUUUGGCACUGUAACGUUGUAUACUAAAGGUUGGAUCAUUACAAUGUCUUAAUGCAUUGUGUAUCGACGCUUUUUAGUUGUUGAUUCGUUUGUCCGAGUUGAAAAAAAGAGCUAAAAAAAGCAGUUGAAGAUGCUUCCUAAGUGACAAACAUAUUUCGACCGACUAAUUACGGUAUUUGAUGGACAUGGCGUUGUUGAUGCUGCUUCAUAUACAAAAAGAAACAUUCUUGAGUUUAUCGUUGAGGACUCUAAUUUCCCGAAUGGGGUGAAGAAAGCCGUUAAAAAUGCUUUUGUCAACAUAUGGAGUACUCCGUAUUAUAUAUGUUUGCUGCAAGUGGGAUGAUUUAGAAAUUUUGUGAUGAUCUAAACUGGCAUAUGGAGUAUUAUAUUUGUUCAUUAUAUGGCCUUUAAAAUGGUUUUUUAGUUUUUAAACGAGUGGCUUUUAAUUUGUGUACAUAAUGUAUUUAUUUAUUUAUUUUUUUUGCAAA